UAGGGAAUCUUCGGCAAUGGACGGAAGUCUGACCGAGCAACGCCGCGUGAGUGAAGAAGGUUUUCGGAUCGUAAAGCUCUGUUGUAAGAGAAGAACGAGUGUGAGAGUGGAAAACUCACACUGUGACGGUAUCUUACCAGAAAGGGACGGCUAACUACGUGCCAGCAGCCGCGGUAAUACGUAGGUCCCGAGCGUUGUCCGGAUUUAUUGGGCGUAAAGCGAGCGCAGGCGGUUAGAUAAGUCUGAAGUUAAAGGCUGUGGCUUAACCAUAGUACGCUUUGGAAACUGUUUAACUUGAGUGCAAGAGGGGAGAGUGGAAUUCCAUGUGUAGCGGUGAAAUGCGUAGAUAUAUGGAGGAACACCGGUGGCGAAAGCGGCUCUCUGGCUUGUAACUGACGCUGAGGCUCGAAAGCGUGGGGAGCAAACAGGAUUAGAUACCCUGGUAGUCCACGCCGUAAACGAUGAGUGCUAGGUGUUAGACCCUUUCCGGGGUUUAGUGCCGUAGCUAACGCAUUAAGCACUCCGCCUGGGGAGUACGACCGCAAGGUU
rnacentral:rRNA from 1 species